GGCCUACGGGGGGCAGCAGUGCGGCCUCUUGGUCCCUGGUCGGGAGCCUGCACCAGCCAAGCCGCGUGAGGGAUGAAGGUACAGAGUAUCGUAAACCUCUUUUGUCAGGGAACAAAGGCGGGGACGUGUCCCCGGAUGAGUGUACCUGAAGAAAAAGCAUCGGCUAACUCCGUGCCAGCAGCCGCGGUAAUACGGAGGAUGCGAGCGUUAUCCGGAUUUAUUGGGUUUAAAGGGUGCGCAGGCGGUCUGUUAAGUCAGCGGUCAAAGCCCGGGGCUCAACCCCGGCCCGCCGUUGUAAAUGGCAG
rnacentral:rRNA from 1 species